CCAAGGGCUUCCAGAGAAAGUGCUGCCACCUCCUUCACCCAGCCAAGCUCUGGGGGUGUUUGAGAUCGUUAAUUAGGCUUUGCCAUCAGUAACAAAGAAAGAUUCCGUCUCCAGAGCAAGCAUGGUUUAUAGCUGAUGCUUCGACCACUUCUGAGGUCAGAAACAUCUCUGCGUCUGCCAGACUGGAGUGAUCUCUCCGUCCAGAACCUGAUCAUUAAAAGGAAAUUAAUUUCACUGGGUGCUGAAGAAAAAUGAAAUUUCCUGUUUAUUUUUCCCUUUGCAUCCUUCUCACAAGAUGAAUUUUACAUGCCGAUAAGGGACUUGCAGGAUGAGAGACAGGAGGUCUGUGUUAUGUUAUUGGCACUAUGGACAAGCCCUUGAUGCUCUUAUAAAUAGAGGAAAAAUCCAAUGCCACGAACAGGGAUAAAAACCUUCCCCAAAGCCUCUGGGAGCAAUAGCUUGGGAAGUGCUAUUCUCUUUCCCUGAGCCACACAUGCUUGCUUUCUAAGACUGCCCAGAUCUGCAUUGAAAUGGGAGAAAGGAGCUCAGUGUUUGGGUCGAGGCUGGGAAUAAUACACGUUUUGAAUCGCCUGGUGAGUGCAAUACACCCCACCUGCUUCUCCCCCUCAAUUAAGGCCACU